AUGCUAAAGAAUGGCGCAUCCGGGAUGAGAUCACACACCCGACUCUUCCACAACAAACGUUGCGCGCUUUCUGGCUCUACCUCGAUGCGCGGUCACUAAAAAAGUGAUAACCUCGGGCAAUGCGCACAGCUGGCAAGGCAAAGGCGCUUGCGAAGAUCAUAUCUGAUUUAAAGCAACCUGCGAAGAUCUGCGCGUCUACUAGGCCACGCAUGCUCCUGGGCACCCCACGUCAGGCCCCGCAACUGCCGCAAGGUGUCGCCCCGCAGAGCGAAGUGGGCUGCUGGCGUGCUCCACACGGACGUGGACGGGAUCGUACGUCGACAGAAAGCGCAAGACUUUGAACAUUAUCUCGCCUUUCAUAACUUUGGCCAACAACGCUGCACAACGUGAGACUACCGGACGCAGUGCAUUUUAUCUGGUCCACGCCCGCCGACACGGCACAGUUUUUGAUUCCGUCCUUCCGUCUUCCAAACCACACGGACCUUCUCCACAGAAGACGCAUUGCCGCGCAGAAGAGACCCGGUGAAUCGCAGCCGUUCGAUAGGCAAGCACGAGGAGGAAGGUAUUUUCGAGCGACACCCUUUGUCCAGUAGUCUGCGUUUGGUUCUGUCUGGAAAAGUUCGGGCUAACGGAGCUUCGAUCGUGCUGCCACUUCAAUCACUGUCCGAAGUUCUCCCGGAUUCGAAUAUUUAUCAAUGAGCGCAGGUUCUGUGCUAUUGUGACAAAAAAAGUCUGCCAGACAGGAUGAACAAUGUGGCUCUUCACUCGAAGCCUUACCUUUCUUUACUCAGUGCCGCACAUGCCGCCUUUUGAAGACUAUUUGCCAGCAAACAUGAGCAUAUCGCCGAUCAAACCCACAAAC
rnacentral:lncRNA from 1 species